AGGGUUUGAUUAUGGCUCAGGAUGAACGCUGGCGGCGUGCCUAACACAUGCAAGUCGAACGAAGCAGCAGAGACGGAGAUUCGUCAAAGCCUCUGUUGACUUAGUGGCGGACGGGUGAGUAAUGCGUGAGCAACCUGCCUUUCAGAGGGGGACAACAGUUGGAAACGACUGCUAAUACCGCAUAACAUAUUUUGGGGGCAUCCCCGGGAUAUCAAAGGAGCAAUCCGCUGAAAGAUGGGCUCACGUCUGAUUAGCUGGUUGGUGGGGUAACGGCUCACCAAGGCUGCGAUCAGUAGCCGGACUGAGAGGUUGAACGGCCACAUUGGGACUGAGAUACGGCCCAG
rnacentral:rRNA from 1 species